rnacentral:rRNA from 1 species
AACGACUCUCGGCAACGGAUAUCUUGGCUCUCGCAUCGAUGAAGAACGCAGCAAAAUGCGAUACUUGGUGUGAAUUGCAGAAUCCCGUGAAUCAUCGAGUUUUUGAACGCAAGUUGCGCCUGAAGCCUUUUGGUCGAGGGCACGUCUGCCUGGGUGUCACGC